GACAGAGGGUGCAAACGUUGCUCGGAAUCACUGGGCGUAAAGGGCGUGUAGGCGGGCAGAUAAGUCGGGCGUGAAAUCCCCAGGCUCAACCUGGGAACUGCACUCGAAACUGUUUGUCUUGAGUAUCGGAGAGGAAAGCGGAAUUCCUGGUGUAGCGGUGAAAUGCGCAGAUAUCAGGAAGAACACCCGUGGCGAAGGCGGCUCUCUGGGACGGUACUGACGCUGAGACGCGAAAGCGUGGGGAGCGAACAGG
rnacentral:rRNA from 1 species